rnacentral:rRNA from 1 species
AGUGAACGCUGGCGGUAGGCCUAACACAUGCAAGUCGAACGGCAGCACAGUAGGAGCUUGCUCUUACGGGUGGCGAGUGGCGGACGGGUGAGGAAUACAUCGGAAUCUACUUUUUCGUGGGGGAUAACGUAGGGAAACUUACGCUAAUACCGCAUACGACCUACGGGUGAAAGCAGGGGAUCUUCGGACCUUGCGCGAUUGAAUGAGCCGAUGUCGGAUUAGCUAGUUGGCGGGGUAAAGGCCCACCAAGGCGACGAUCCGUAGCUGGUCUGAGAGGAUGAUCAGCCACACUGGAACUGAGACACGGUCCAGACUCCUACGGGAGGCAGCAGUGGGGAAUAUUGGACAAUGGGCGCAAGCCUGAUCCAGCCAUACCGCGUGGGUGAAGAAGGCCUUCGGGUUGUAAAGCCCUUUUGUUGGGAAAGAAAAGCAGCAGGUUAAUACCCCGCUGUUCUGACGGUACCCAAAGAAUAAGCAUCGGCUAACUUCGUG